GGGUUGAUAGCUCAACGGUAGAGCAGUUGACUUUUAAUCAAUUGGUUCAGGGUUCGAAUCCCUGUCAACCCACCA
rnacentral:tRNA from 1 species